AUUGAACGCUGGCGGCAUGCCUUACACAUGCAAGUCGAACGGCAGCAUGAUCUAGCUUGCUAGAUUGAUGGCGAGUGGCGAACGGGUGAGUAAUACAUCGGAACGUGCCCUGUAGUGGGGGAUAACUAGUCGAAAGAUUAGCUAAUACCGCAUACGACCUGAGGGUGAAAGUGGGGGACCGCAAGGCCUCAUGCUAUAGGAGCAGCCGAUGUCUGAUUAGCUAGUUGGUGAGGUAAAGGCUCACCAAGGCGACGAUCAGUAGCUGGUCUGAGAGGACGAUCAGCCACACUGGGACUGAGACACGGCCCAGACUCCUACGGGAGGCAGCAGUGGGGAAUUUUGGACAAUGGGCGAAAGCCUGAUCCAGCAAUGCCGCGUGUGUGAAGAAGGCCUUCGGGUUGUAAAGCACUUUUGUCCGGAAAGAAAUGGCUCUGGUUAAUACCUGGGGUCGAUGAUGGUACCGGAAGAAUAAGGACCGGCUAACUACGUG
rnacentral:rRNA from 1 species